rnacentral:hammerhead_ribozyme from 1 species
ACUCGGCCACGAGUCCCAAAUAGGACGAAACGCGCGUCCCGGAU